UCUUAUGAUGUUGAAAUUUUUUAUGUUAUAUUUUGUUCUAGGUUUUAGAUGUGUUUCUUGCAGGGCAACACAUAAUGGCGUAUGUCUUUGAAUCAAUAGUUUCAACUCGUUUAAGUUAUUGGAUAGUCCCCGACAAUUCCAUUGGAUAAUUUUGGUAUCCAUUACAAAGAUAAGAUUAAAAGAAACAACAAUGGAAUAAAUAAUAUUAAUAAAUAACAGAUCAUAGUGUAUAAGGGACGACUACAAACAAAUAACAAUUAAUUUAAGACAGAUACAAGAGACAGAUAUAUCACAGAUUUGGUAAUUCAAUACAGAUUGUAGGUAGAUUAUCACAGUAAAUAUAUCACGUAUGGGUAUCAACACUAGAGAGAGAUUUUCCUAGGUUUGCCCUUUGGCCAUCCUUUUUUCUUCUUUUGUUGAAGAAUUUGUUUUCUCUCUAUAUCUAAGGCUUCUUCAUCUAAUAUUGGCGAAGAUGGGGUUGAACUAUCCUCAUCUCGCUUCCUCUUAUCAACAGGAUCCGCGAUUGUCACAUGACAGUCCUGGAACUUCCAUGAGGUAAUUCUAUCGGAGACGGAGAUACGGUUGGUUUCGGCAUUGAUUGUUUAACAUACUCAACUAAGAUACCAGGUUGGGUUGAGUAUCAGUGGUUAGGCGUGUAGCAACAUUUGAGUACGAGUUGUUUGAAGUAACAGCCGAUCCAAGCAUUCGUUUUGCCUCCAGAUAAGACACCUUACGGGUAACCUUUAUCUCUUGAAUUUGUAACUCUCUUUUAUACACUUCGCAAGUUCUAGAGUUUGCAGGAUGUGUACCGUUGCAAUUUAGGCAUACGACUGGAUCGUCACAUGGAGAACCCGGGUGUAAGGAUUUUCCACAGACACAUACUUGUUCCUUCUCACAUUUUAGUGUUGUGUGUCCGAAACGUUGACACUUGUAACAUCUCAUUGGUUGUGGAACAUAUGGUCUCACUUUCAACGUAUAUUAAUCACCCUGGGAAGUUGGGUGGCAUUGAAGGUAAGUAUAAGGU